rnacentral:misc_RNA from 1 species
GAUGAAGAACGUAGCGAAAUGCGAUAAGUAAUGUGAAUUGCAGAAUUCAGUGAAUCAUCGAAUCUUUGAACGCACCUUGCGCCCUUUGGCUAUUCCGAAGGGCAUGCCUGUUUGAGUAUCAUGAAAACCUCAACUCUCAUGGCUUGCCAUGAUGAGCUUGGACUCUGGGGGUCUUGCUGGCUUUACGGUCAGCUCCUCUCAAAUAAAUCAGCUUGCCGGUGUUUGGUGGGAUCACAGGUGUGAUAACUAUCUACGCUUGUGGUUUUCCGCAAGGUAACCUUCAGCAAUGGAGGUUCGCUGGAGCUCAUAAAUGUCUCUCCUCAGCGAGGACAGAUUUUGACCGUUUGAUCUCAAAUCAGGUAGGACUACUCGCUGAACUUAAGCAUAUCAAUAAGCGGAGGA